CCUUAAUAUUGUUUUGAAGACCUGGAGAGUGGCGGUCUGGCCAAUGUGGAACGGGGAGGGCGAUCCAGGCCAGGGGGAGGCGGGGAGAAAGGAGCCGGAGAAGCCGGCGCUGUUGGAGCAAAGUGCCACCAGGUGGCGAUAGAGAAGCGCGGAGGCCCAGCAUCAUCUGGAAGGGAAGCAGCGCCGCCUGGUGGCCACAUCCCGGAAGGACCUGGCUCCAAAUCCAGCGUCGCCCACUUCUCUGCGAGGUGACCUUGGAGGGCAGGAUGGGAGACCCAGGAUCUCGGGAUCGGUAAUCCUAUCAUCUCUCCAGAUCAGUUCCACGAUUCUAGAUGAGGAUUCCUGCCGAAACUGGUGGGUUUCUUCAAAAUAUGUGUUUCUGUGGGACCAGUGGCUUCCUCUUGGGGAGAGAACGGGGAAGGGGAGAGAUGCAGAGUCUGCGCUAUGAGACAACAGAGUCGGCUGGAGGCUGAAGGGUUUGGCCACAGAAACGGACUACAGAGGGCAAGGUGAGGGAACCUGGCCCCUCAGGCUCACUGAUCCACAUGUGUCUCUUAAGGUCAGGUUCCGCAACUGCACAUGCAUUUCAGACAGGACCAGCGGAGAAGCUCCAGUGACAUUUCGCUUCCCUUAGACCCAAACUCUACUGCCUCCUCCCCAGAGGAGGGUUCUGCAGUGAGUCCUGUGUUUUGGAGGGGGCGGGGUUGGGUGUGGGGGAGAAAGGAAGCCCGAGUCUGUCCAGUUGGCUCAGACAUCGAAACGGUGUUUGCCCCCUAUAACG